ensembl:lncRNA
GGGUAGUUCUGUCUGUCACCACUUCUUCUGUAGUAAGCAAUACUACCUGUAAGUAGGUAGAUGCCCAAAGCAUUGCUGUGGGUUUCUCCCGUUGCUGCCUUCACCCCAGCCACAUCCAGACUCACUGGUGCCUCUGCUCUUCUAUCUGAACAUCUUUGCUCCUGGCAAGAGCUCUCCUGUGCUGCCUGAUUUCUGUCCUUUCGACAGGCCUCCUGAACUCCAGGCUUACCUCCUUCCUGACCAGGGUGUAUCCGCAUCACCUCUCUGAAAUUAACUUCUGACCCAAAUGAGCUGUCAUUUCCCAUUCCAGGAACUGCUCAUCUGUGCUACAGACGCAUGCUGCUCAACCUUCAGUGUGUCAUGCUGCUCUUCAGAAUGACUUCCAGUGCAGAACUGAUGUUCUGAUGACUACAGUCGUGGUCUGCUGCUGCUGCAGUAGGUCUACUCUUGCUAAACUGAAGAAGACUGUGUCUGCUGGGUCAUCAAAGAUGGAUGAUGCUGCCUACACGUGCUAACUCCAGCUGACAAGGAGGGAAAAAAGGG